CGCAGGCGGGGCGCGGGGCGGGCGGCGCCCGCUGGGCCCGGCCCCAGGGGCCGCGAGAGGGCGCGUCUCGCAGGGCCCGCAGGGGAAGGGCCGGCUGUCCGGGUCUCCUUAUAGCCCAGGUCCCCCUAUAGCCCAGGUCUCUGUGAACGAUGUGCUCCUUUCACCAUCUCCCAGUACACAGACCACAUUCAUGGCAUCUGCCCCAUGCUGAGCGGGAGUUCACCAUUCCUGCUUGCCACUGUGACGUGUGUGCUUGCUGUGACUGCGGGCAGCAGUCAGGCCCUUGCUGAAAGUGGGACGUAGAGCAGGUGGACUGGCACCUGCUGGGAAGCUGGGACUGGGACAAGCCAAUGAAAGGAACUGGCUCCUCCUGGUUUGUGCCUGAUGUCCCAACAUGACUGUGAUCACAGUUUUACUGGGCUGAUGCAGUGUGAGGUUAUCAUCACCUGAAAAAAGAGAUUCCAACCGAUGCAUUUAAAUCUGAUGGAGAUGACAGUGGGAGGAUCUCUGCUGCAAUGAGAGUGCUUUUUAUGUCCACUGCCAAUGAAGCACUCUGUGCCAAGCUGGUGCAUGCAAGGGGAUGAGUGAGAUCAAGUGCAGAUGCUGCCCAAGCAUUCUGGGAGACAUGGUUCCUGCCCUGGAGAACUGAUGGUCUCGGGGGAUACUGCAAGGAACAGUCAAGGAGGAAAUCUGUGGCCCCAUCCCCCAGCUCAUGAUACCUGUGAUGUGAUUUUCCUCUGAGAAGUUGUAUGGAGGGAGCGUUGUGAAAUCUGACAUUUGUAGCCCUAAAUCUCAGUUCUGUUUGCUGUGUAAAACCUUUCAUCCUACAUGCAUUUUUUAUGAAUGGACUGAAAAACACAAGAAAUAAAACACGUAGCUCCAAUUGUCGCUGCAUGUGGACCAGGGCUGCUCAGCCAGUACGGAGCAGGGCAGUUCCAGGGUGCACGAUGCCUCGGUUUCCAGGGGCACUCGUGCAGUGAUACUUCUCAUGAUGACGAGUACCGGUGUGCUGGCGAUAAAAUGCUUCCAGAAGCACAAGAACAGCAGGUCUGCAUGCCACCAGAGGGAUGUGCGGGGCCCGAUGCCCUGGGCAUGAUGGUGGGAAGCAGGAUGGGAGCCUGGACAUACACUGGGGAGCCUGGGGUCAGCCCACUCAAACCUGGAGCAGCAGGACACAGCCUGGGACUGUGUGUGCCUGAGCCCUGUGCUGGGAAUGUGCUGUAAGGAGGUGGUUUCUGGAGCCAUUCUUCUCAGUUCUGUUGUUUUAGGGAAAGCAGUAAUUGUAACUGUGCAUGGUCAAAGCUCUGACUGAUUUCCCUUUUCAACAAAAUAAAACCAAAUAUUCAUUACUGAGAAGUGAUAAAUAAAUCUUUCCUCACACCCAGGAAUUUUGCCAGCUGGGUUUUGGCUGGGUGGGAGACUGUUUGUGAAUGCUUUCAAGGAUUUUUGAAAAUAUUCUGCUUUGAAUCAUUAAACAAACAAAGUGAUCUGGUCUUCUGGAAUAAACAGUAAUCACACGGAAGUGAAUUCUGAACUUCUUUCUUGGCAAUACAAUUUUCAGCACUUCUCUCUCUCUUAUUUUUAUUUUUGCAUUUGUUUAUGCUUACUUUUAUUUUUAUUUUUGUUCCUGGAGUCUGUUUCUUACACCACAUCUUUUCUGUUACAGCAGGCUCCGUAAAGAUCACACUUAACAAAGUACUUAUAGCAUGUUGCUUAGUCUCCUCCCCACAGUCCUUCCCCUCUUAGCCAGAAGCAUGUGUCUGAGUCCAGAUGGCCCAGUUCCACCACUCUCUAGCCAUUAGUUUGUAUUCAGUAUUCAUAAUUGCUUCACUAACUGAGAAACUUUACAAUCUGUUGCAGGCCAUUAUAUGCAAAACCAUGCCCAAAUAAUUGAUCCCCUGCCAUCCAAAUUGCAGAAGUGCUUGAGCAUUUUGUAAUCUUACAGAAAAGGUUUGUAUUCUGAGUGUUUUGAAUGUAUAUUAAAAUAAACUUGACAAUGGGAUACCAA